rnacentral:rRNA from 1 species
AGUGAACGCUGGCGGCAGGCCUAACACAUGCAAGUCGAGCGGCAGCGCGGUGUAGCAAUACACUGGUGGCGAGCGGCGGACGGGUGAGGAAUGCGUCGGAAUCUGCCUCUUUGUGGGGGAUAACGUAGGGAAACUUACGCUAAUACCGUAUACGACCUACGGGUGAAAGUGGGGGACCUUCGGGCCUCACGCAGAGAGAU